GCGGGCGUCGUAUAGUGGUUAUUACCCCAGUUUUCCAAACUGGUGAUGACGGUUCGAUUCCGUUCGCCCGCUCCA
rnacentral:tRNA from 1 species